UUAAGCGAACAAGCGUACACGGUGGAUGCCCUGGCAGUCAGAGGCGAUGAAGGACGUGCUAAUCUGCGAAAAGCGCCGGUAAGGUGAUAUGAACCGUUAUAACCGGCGAUGUCCGAAUGGGGAAACCCGGUGCACUUCGGUGCAUCAUCGUUAGCUGAAUACAUAGGCUAACGAGGCGAACCGGGGGAACUGAAACAUCUAAGUACCCCGAGGAAAAGAAAUCAACCGAGAUUCCCCCAGUAGCGGCGAGCGAACGGGGAACAGCCCAGAGCCUGAAUCAGCUUGUGUGUCAGUGGAACGGUCUGGAAAGGCCGGCGAUACAGGGUGACAGCCCCGUACACGAAGGCACACAGGCUGUGAGCUCGAUGAGUAGGGCGGGACACGUGAUAUCCUGUCUGAAGAUGGGGGGACCAUCCUCCAAGGCUAAAUACUCCUGACUGACCGAUAGUGAACCAGUACCGUGAGGGAAAGGCGAAAAGAACCCCGGCGAGGGGAGUGAAACAGAACCUGAAACCGUGUACGUACAAGCAGUGGGAGCCUUCGUAAGAGGGUGACUGCGUACCUUUUGUAUAAUGGGUCAGCGACUUAUAUUCUGUAGCAAGGUUAACCGUAUAGGGGAGCCGAAGGGAAACCGAGUCUUAACCGGGCGUUAAGUUGCAGGGUAUAGACCCGAAACCCGGUGAUCUAGCCAUGGGCAGGUUGAAGGUUGGGUAACACUAACUGGAGGACCGAACCGACUAAUGUUGAAAAAUUAGCGGAUGACCUGUGGCUGGGGGUGAAAGGCCAAUCAAACCGGGAGAUAGCUGGUUCUCCCCGAAAGCUAUUUAGGUAGCGCCUCGUGAACUCAUCUCCGGGGGUAGAGCACUGUUUCGGCUAGGGGGCCAUCCCGGCUUACCAACCCGAUGCAAACUGCGAAUACCGGAGAAUGUUAUCACGGGAGACACACGGCGGGUGCUAACGUCCGUCGUGAAGAGGGAAACAACCCAGACCGCCAGCUAAGGUCCCAAAGUCAUGGUUAAGUGGGAAACGAUGUGGGAAGGCCCAGACAGCCAGGAUGUUGGCUUAGAAGCAGCCAUCAUUUAAAGAAAGCGUAAUAGCUCACUGGUCGAGUCGGCCUGCGCGGAAGAUGUAACGGGGCUAAACCAUGCACCGAAGCUGCGGCAGCGACGCUUAUGCGUUGUUGGGUAGGGGAGCGUUCUGUAAGCCUGCGAAGGUGUGCUGUGAGGCAUGCUGGAGGUAUCAGAAGUGCGAAUGCUGACAUAAGUAACGAUAAAGCGGGUGAAAAGCCCGCUCGCCGGAAGACCAAGGGUUCCUGUCCAACGUUAAUCGGGGCAGGGUGAGUCGACCCCUAAGGCGAGGCCGAAAGGCGUAGUCGAUGGGAAACAGGUUAAUAUUCCUGUACUUGGUGUUACUGCGAAGGGGGGACGGAGAAGGCUAUGUCGGCCGGGCGACGGUUGUCCCGGUUUAAGCGUGUAGGCUGACUUUCCAGGCAAAUCCGGAAGGUUAAGGCUGAGGCGUGAUGACGAGGCACCACGGUGCUGAAGUGACAAAUGCCCUGCUUCCAGGAAAAGCCUCUAAGCAUCAGGUAACAUCAAAUCGUACCCCAAACCGACACAGGUGGUCAGGUAGAGAAUACCAAGGCGCUUGAGAGAACUCGGGUGAAGGAACUAGGCAAAAUGGUGCCGUAACUUCGGGAGAAGGCACGCUGACAUGUAGGUGAAGCCCCUGCGGGUGGAGCUGAAGUCAGUCGAAGAUACCAGCUGGCUGCAACUGUUUAUUAAAAACACAGCACUGUGCAAACACGAAAGUGGACGUAUACGGUGUGACGCCUGCCCGGUGCCGGAAGGUUAAUUGAUGGGGUUAUCGCAAGAGAAGCUCCUGAUCGAAGCCCCGGUAAACGGCGGCCGUAACUAUAACGGUCCUAAGGUAGCGAAAUUCCUUGUCGGGUAAGUUCCGACCUGCACGAAUGGCGUAAUGAUGGCCAGGCUGUCUCCACCCGAGACUCAGUGAAAUUGAACUCGCUGUGAAGAUGCAGUGUACCCGCGGCAAGACGGAAAGACCCCGUGAACCUUUACUACAGCUUGACACUGAACAUUGAGCCUUGAUGUGUAGGAUAGGUGGGAGGCUUUGAAGCGUGGACGCCAGUCUGCGUGGAGCCGACCUUGAAAUACCACCCUUUAAUGUUUGAUGUUCUAACCUGGCGCCAUAAUCUGGCGUGGGGACAGUGUCUGGUGGGUAGUUUGACUGGGGCGGUCUCCUCCCAAAGUGUAACGGAGGAGCACGAAGGUCAGCUAAUCCUGGUCGGACAUCAGGAGGUUAGUGCAAUGGCAUAAGCUGGCUUGACUGCGAGAGUGACGGCUCGAGCAGGUGCGAAAGCAGGUCAUAGUGAUCCGGUGGUUCUGUAUGGAAGGGCCAUCGCUCAACGGAUAAAAGGUACUCCGGGGAUAACAGGCUGAUACCGCCCAAGAGUUCAUAUCGACGGCGGUGUUUGGCACCUCGAUGUCGGCUCAUCACAUCCUGGGGCUGAAGUAGGUCCCAAGGGUAUGGCUGUUCGCCAUUUAAAGUGGUACGCGAGCUGGGUUUAGAACGUCGUGAGACAGUUCGGUCCCUAUCUGCCGUGGGCGCUGGAGAAUUGAGGGGGGCUGCUCCCAGUACGAGAGGACCGGAGUGGACGCAUCACUGGUGUUCGGGUUGUCAUGCCAAUGGCACUGCCCGGUAGCUAAAUGCGGAAGAGAUAAGUGCUGAAAGCAUCUAAGCACGAAACUUGCCCCGAGAUGAGUUCUCCCUGAGACUAUAAGUCUCCUGAAGGAACGUUGAAGACGACGACGUUGAUAGGCCGGGUGUGUAAGCGCAGCGAUGCGUUGAGCUAACCGGUACUAAUGAACCGUGAGGCUUAACCUU
rnacentral:rRNA from 1 species